rnacentral:rRNA from 1 species
CCUACGGGAGGCAGCAGUGGGGAAUUUUGGACAAUGGGGGCAACCCUGAUCCAGCAAUGCCGCGUGAGUGAAGAAGGCCUUCGGGUUGUAAAGCUCUUUUGUCAGGGAAGAAACGGUGAGUUCUAAUACAACUUGCUAAUGACGGUACCUGAAGAAUAAGCACCGGCUAACUACGUGCCAGCAGCCGCGGUAAUACGUAGGGUGCAAGCGUUAAUCGGAAUUACUGGGCGUAAAGCGUGCGCAGGCGGUUAUAUAAGACAGAGGUGAAAUCCCCGGGCUCAACCUGGGAACUGCCUUUGUGACUGUAUGGCUAGAGUGUGUCAGAGGGGGGUAGAAUUCCACGUGUAGCAGUGAAAUGCGUAGAUAUGUGGAGGAAUACCGAUGGCGAAGGCAGCCCCCUGGGAUAACACUGACGCUCAUGCACGAAAGCGUGGGGAGCAAACAGGAUUAGAUACCCUGGUAGUCCACGCCCUAAACGAUGUCUACUAGUUGUCGGGACUUAAUUGUCUUGGUAACGCAGCUAACGCGUGAAGUAGACCGCCUGGGGAUACGGUCGCAAGNUUAAAACNCAAAGGAUUGACGG